UACGUAGGUGGCAAGCGUUGUCCGGAUUUACUGGGCGUAAAGAGCGCGCAGGCGGUCAGAUAAGUCGAAUGUGAAAGCCCCCGGCUCAACUGGGGAGGGUCAUUCGAUACUGUUCGACUCGAAGGCAGGAGAGGGAAGUGGAAUUCCCGGUGUAGUGGUGAAAUGCGUAGAUAUCGGGAGGAACACCAGUGGCGAAGGCGACUUCCUGGCCUGUUCUUGACGCUGAGGCGCGAAAGCUAGGGGAGCAAACAGG
rnacentral:rRNA from 1 species